UAUUAUUAUUAUUAUUAUUAUUAUUAUAUUAAUUUAUACUAUAUUAUAUUAUUCAGUUGGGCAAUUAGAGGGUGUUCACUAUUUCAGACAUCUAAGGCCAAUAUCAUAUUCAAUGACUGGUAGAGAAAAUCUUCUGGAAAUAAAUCAUAGAAAGUUCAUGUGGUACGAUCUUGAGGAGAAGGCGCUCAAUCAUGUUACGAUUAGUGUGGGGUUGGACAAUUUCGAAUCCUUUGUCGGUUUGGGAACUCUUGUCCCCUUAUAUGAAGGUGAAAAUGAAAGGACAGAACUUUAAAGCAAUUCAAGAGAAGUUUAAAAUUAGAGUAUAGAAAGAUACGAUUCCGAGCACUAGUACAUCUCAUGGAUCUUUCUGAGUCCAAGAGUGGAUUACUUGGAGUUGUGGUGAGCUGCUUGGCUGUUACGUGGUGCACACCUUCAUAUAUCUUUUAUUAAUUCUGUUGUUUAGUUUCAGACAAGAUACUUAGGCUUGUCGUUCCAGUUUCAUACUUGUAUCGUAAUGUAGAAGCUCUUGUACUUUUGACACCAAAUCUUGGGUGGUACUUUUGUACUUGUCGUUCUGUGGUAUUUGAGAUAUUUGGGUUGUCUCUUA